UACAGAGGGUGCAAGCGUUGUUCGGAAUUACUGGGCGUAAAGCGCGUGUAGGUGGCGAUGUAAGUCGGGUGUGAAAUCCCUCAACUUAACUGAGGAAGUGCACUCGAUACUGUGUCGCUUGAGUGUUGGAGGGGAUGGCGGAAUUCCCGGUGUAGAGGUGAAAUUCGUAGAUAUCGGGAGGAACACCUGUGGCGAAGGCGGCCAUCUGGACAACUACUGACACUGAGACGCGAAAAGCGUGGGUAGCAAACAGG
rnacentral:rRNA from 1 species